GGUGGGGUGGCUGAGUGGUUGAAAGCGAUAGUCUUGAAAACUAUUGUGGGCGUUAGUCCACCGUGAGUUCGAAUCUCACCCCCACCGCCA
rnacentral:tRNA from 1 species